GCCAUCUUGUCAGCACCGUAGCGGCCGCCGCCGACUGCCAGCCCCGCCAGGAGGAGGGCGGGGACGUGGCCUGCUCUUAAAGGGGCCGCGCCGUGAGCCCAACCGCGCAGGGCCGUGACUGGCUGGUUGGAGGCCGCUUCCUCAGGUUUCCCACGCUGUCCUUUCCUAGCUGACCCUCCCAAGGAGGCUUUCCUGGGAGGCUGGAAGAGGAGUGGCACAGAGGACUUUUCUUACAAGCACAGCCAGGGGCAUUCCAAAGCUCACAACGGCAGCACUUCAAUUCAGUAUCCAUCUUCACAUGGUGUUCUCCUUGUGUGUCUGGAUCCUCACGUGACCAUCGUACUCGUCUAACACAAUGCCGCGGGGAGGAAGCAGUAACGAAUCAUAGUUAAGAACACAUCAGGUUCAGAAGUGUGUUAAG